rnacentral:rRNA from 1 species
AACGAACGCUGGCGGCAUGCCUAACACAUGCAAGUCGAACGAGACCUUCGGGUCUAGUGGCGCACGGGUGCGUAACGCGUGGGAACCUGCCCUUAGGUUCGGAAUAACUCCCCGAAAGGGGUGCUAAUACCGGUUAAUGUCUUCGGACCAAAGAUUUAUCGCCUUUGGAUGGGCCCGCGUUGGAUUAGCUAGUUGGUAGGGUAAAAGCCUACCAAGGCGACGAUCCAUAGCUGGUCUGAGAGGAUGAUCAGCCACACUGGGACUGAGACACGGCCCAGACUACUACGGGAGGCAGCAGUGGGGAAUAUUGGACAAUGGGCGAAAGCCUGAUCCAGCAAUGCCGCGUGAGUGAUGAAGGCCUUAGGGUUGUAAAGCUCUUUUACCCGGGAUGAUAAUGACAGUACCGGGAGAAUAAGCUCCGGCUAACUCCGUG